rnacentral:rRNA from 1 species
AUUGAACGCUGGCGGCAGGCCUAACACAUGCAAGUCGAACGGUAACAGGAAGACGCUUGCUUCUUUGCUGACGAGUGGCGGACGGGUGAGGAAUGUCUGGGAAACUGCCUGAUGGAGGGGGAUAACUACUGGAAACGGUAGCUAAUACCGCAUAACGUCGCAAGCCCAAAGAGGGGGACCUUCGGGCCUCUUGCCAUCGGAUGUGCCCAGAUGGGAUUAGCUAGUAGGUGGGGUAACGGCUCACCUAGGCGACGAUCCCUAGCUGGUCUGAGAGGAUGACCAGCCACACUGGAACUGAGACACGGUCCAGACUCCUACGGGAGGCAGCAGUGGGGAAUAUUGCACAAUGGGCGCAAGCCGGAUGCAGCCAUGCCGCGUGUAUGAAGAAGGCCUUCGGGUUGUAAAGUACUUUCAGCGGGGAGGAAGGGAGUAAAGUUAAUACCUUUGCUCAUUGACGGUACCCGCAGAAGAAGCACCGGCUAACUCCGUG